UACGUAGGGUGCGAGCGUUAAUCGGAAUUACUGGGCGUAAAGCGUGCGCAGGCGGUUCGUUGUGUCGGCGGUGAAAGCCCGGGCUUAACCUGGGAAUGGCCGUCGAAACUGGCGAACUGGAGUGUGGCAGAGGGGGUGGAAUUCCGCGUGGUAGCAGUGAAAUGCGUAGAGAUGCGGAGGAACACCGAUGGCGAAGGCAGCCCCCUGGGUCAAGAUUGACGCUCGAUGCACGAAAGCGUGGGGAGCAAACAGG
rnacentral:rRNA from 1 species